rnacentral:rRNA from 1 species
AGGGAUCAUUACUGAGUUACCGCUCUAUCAACCCUUUGUGAACAUACCUAUAACUGUUGCUUCGGCGGGUAGGCGUCCCCUAAAAAGGACGUCUCCCGGCCCUCUCCCGUCCGGGCGGGUGGGGCGCCCGCCGGAGGAUAACCAAACUCUGAUUUAACGACGUUUCUUCUGAGUGACACAAGCAAAUAAUCAAAACUUUUAACAACGGAUCUCUUGGUUCUGGCAUCGAUGAAGAACGCAGCGAAAUGCGAUAAGUAAUGUGAAUUGCAGAAUUCAGUGAAUCAUCGAAUCUUUGAACGCACAUUGCGCCCGCCAGCAUUCUGGCGGGCAUGCCUGUUCGAGCCGUCAUUUCAACCCUCAAGCUCUGCUUGGUGUUGGGGCCUCUACGGUUGACGUAGGCCCUUAAAGGUAGUGGCGGACCCUCUCGGAGCCUCCUUUGCGUAGUAACAUUUCGUCUCGCAUUGGGAUUCGGAGGGACUCUAGCCGUAAAACCCCCAAUUUUACUAAGGUGACCUCGG